CAUGUCACAUAUUGGGUUGAUAGGGAUAGCUGCAUCUCUCCCGAUCCCCUCUCUCUCCCUUCACGAUAGAUUUUCUUGGCUGCCGCCGACAACUCCGGUCUCCGCCUCCUGCCACCGCCAGUAUAUACUCCUUCCCAUGCGCUGCUCUGAUGCCCUGCUGCCGCUCUAGGCCCCAGUUCGAGGCUCCUCCUCUGCAGCCUCCGCCUCCUCCUCCCAAAUCUGGAUAUAUGCACCGAGCAGCAGUGGAUCUCGGGGAGGGGCGUCGGUGCCGGUUCCGAUGUGGGCGAGGUCAAGGUGGGGAUGAUGGCAGCGACGGAGGACAUGUCGAGUACGCCCAACGGUGGUGGGGCAGGCGGGGCGACGGUGCUCUGGCCCGACACGGACGAGCUCGAGGCUUGCACGGCGGCGGCUGAGCGCGGGUCGAGCGCGACUGGCGCGAGCGAUCCCUGAUAGGGAUGGUGCUGGAUCGGGAUGGGGUUGGACAUCUGCGACCACAGAGGUACUUUACUACAGUUCAUAUGCGAAGUUGGCUAGAAGAGAGGGCUCACUUGCGGAAGGUUAUUAGUAACCUAAGGAGAAUAUUACAAUGAGACUGCAAACGACGCCGGUGGAUUGGUGUCUAUAGUUCCCUUGCCGCCUAUGAGCUGGAGGUCUCGAUGAUAAGUGCAACAUAUUGUGCAAAGGAAUGAAGAUGGUUUAUUUGCUAUGGAGGGGUGUGGCUGGGGCACACGACACGACGGUGGUGCUGGCCAGACGGCUUCGUGCGCAAUGGAAGGGUGCUACGCCAAGGAAUUCGAGGUGACCUGACAUGCCGGAGAAGGAUGUUGAUAGGUGGCAGCUCGGGCGAUGGCUAUGGCUUGGCAGAAAAUCCAACAGAUCAGGGUUAGCGUAGGACGACACGCUGCCAACACUCCCUCGCUUCCCCUCCACGUUUCCCCACCGCUCCCUCUUUUCCCGAUCUCAUAUGCUACAUUUGAGGAAAUUGGGUGGACAACACAAUCCAGAUGUUAAGCAAGCCAGUGGAUCGUCAAUAAGCUGGAGGAAUGGCUGCUGCCUACAACUCCGUGAGUGUCGGAUCAAUUACUCUCCGUCAGCAACAUUGUAGCAGCAUCAAAUUCUUUCAGUGCCGUUUGCCGCUGAAGAUCUGCAGCUGAACCGUUCCUGCUUGUGCUGGUUCCUUUGCCUUCUCUGCUUGUAUGCGGUUGGUUUAAUUUACAUGUACUGUUUGUACUUCGAUUUAAUUAUGUAAGUGUAUUUUUAAAUAUAUUUUUUGUAAAUUGCAUUAGCUGCAGGCUAUGUUAUCAAUACUGGUGACAAUGUUGGAGGUUCAGCCUAAGUUGGAUCUCUUUGUUUUUGUCAUUCAUUAAUCAUGCACAACAGAUGUGUGUUCUCAGGCCCUGUGAGGCACACAAUAACUGUUUCAGGUAAUGAAGGCCUUCUUUCUUGUCAUUUGAAUUAAUUUUUCCAUUUUUUCUUCCGGAAAGCAUAUAUGGCCUGAGAACAUAAACAGACACAUAGUUGAAGAAAAUAACUGUAAUAUGUUACCCCUUCAGGAAAGCUUGCUGUCGUUUUAAUAUUUUUUCGAAGAAGCUAAUGUAGAGUAGCAAGACCAUCAUUUUUUUGGGGGACAUGGUACAUGUAGAUCGAUGCACCUCUUUGAUGGUAAUGUAUGCUUUUGUAAUUGCACACUGUGCUCAAUAACCAUCUUUCUGGUUACUGCC